rnacentral:rRNA from 1 species
AGCGAACGCUGGCGGCAGGCCUAACACAUGCAAGUCGAACGAACUCUUCGGAGUUAGUGGCGGACGGGUGAGUAACACGUGGGAACGUGCCUUUAGGUUCGGAAUAACUCAGGGAAACUUGUGCUAAUACCGAAUGUGCCCUUCGGGGGAAAGAUUUAUCGCCUUUAGAGCGACCCGCGUCUGAUUAGCUAGUUGGUGAGGUAAAGGCUCACCAAGGCGACGAUCAGGAGCUGGUCUGAGAGGAUGAUCAGCCACAUUGGGACUGAGACACGGCCCAGACUCCUACGGGAGGCAGCAGUGGGGAAUCUUGCGCAAUGGGCGAAAGCCUGACGCAGCCAUGCCGCGUGAAUGAUGAAGGUCUUAGGAUUGUAAAAUUCUUUCACCGGGGACGAUAAUGACGGUACCCGGAGAAGAAGCCCCGGCUAACUUCGUGCCAGCCGCCGCCGUAA